GACGAACGCUGGCGGCAGGCUUAACACAUGCAAGUCGAACGCUCGUAGCAAUACGGGAGUGGCGGACGGGGUGAGUAACGCGUGGGAACGUGCCCUGAGGUACGGAAUAACUGAGGGAAACUUCAGCUAAUACCGUAUGAGCCCCGAGAGGGGGAAAGAUUUAUCGCCUUGGGAGCGGCCCGCGUCGGAUUAGCUAGUUAGUGGGGUAACGGCCUACCAAGGCUUCGAUCCGUAGCUGGUCUGAGAGGACGAUCAGCCACACUGGGACUGAGACACGGCCCAGACUCCUACGGGAGGCAGCAGUGGGGAAUCUUGCGCAAUGGGGGCAACCCUGACGCAGCCAUGCCGCGUGAACGAUGAAGGCCUUAGGGUUGUAAAGUUCUUUUACCCGUGACGAUGAUGACGGUAACGGGGAAUAAGCUCCGGCUAACUUCGUGCCAGCAGCCGCGGUAAU
rnacentral:rRNA from 1 species